GACGAACGCUGGCGGCGUGCCUAAUACAUGCAAGUCGAACGCACUCUCGUUUAGAUUGAAGGAGCUUGCUCCUGAUUGAUAAACAUUUGAGUGAGUGGCGGACGGGUGAGUAACACGUGGGUAACCUGCCCUAAAGUGGGGGAUAACAUUUGGAAACAGAUGCUAAUACCGCAUAAAACCUAACACCGCAUGGUGUAGGGUUGAAAGAUGGUUUCGGCUAUCACUUUAGGAUGGACCCGCGGUGCAUUAGUUAGUUGGUGAGGUAAAGGCUCACCAAGACCGUGAUGCAUAGCCGACCUGAGAGGGUAAUCGGCCACACUGGGACUGAGACACGGCCCAGACUCCUACGGGAGGCAGCAGUAGGGAAUCUUCCACAAUGGACGAAAGUCUGAUGGAGCAACGCCGCGUGAGUGAAGAAGGUUUUCGGAUCGUAAAACUCUGUUGUUGGAGAGAAUGUAUCUGAUAGUAACUGAUCAGGUAGUGACGGUAUCCGAACCAGUAAGCC
rnacentral:rRNA from 1 species